rnacentral:rRNA from 1 species
AAUUGGAGGGCAAGUCUGGUGCCAGCAGCCGCGGUAAUUCCAGCUCCAAUAGCGUAUAUUAAAGUUGUUGCAGUUAAAAAGCUCGUAGUUGAAUUUCGGGAUCAGUACGCUGGUCGUGCCUCCGGUAUGUACUGGUGUCACUGGUUCCUCCCUUCUGAAGAACCAUCAUGCUAUUCAUUUAGUGUGGUGGGAAAUCAGGACUGUUACUUUGAAAAAAUUAGAGUGUUUAAAGCAGGCUCACGCUUGAAUACAUUAGCAUGGAAUAAUGAAAUAGGACGUUGAUCCUAUUUUGUUGGUUUCUAGGAUUGACGUAAUGAUUAAUAGGGAUAGUUGGGGGCAUUAGUAUUCAAUUGUCAGAGGUGAAAUUCUUGGAUUUAUUGAAGACUAACUACUGCGAAAGCAUUUGCCAAGGAUGUUUUCAUUAAUCAAGAACGAAAGUUAGGGGAUCGAAGACGAUCAGAUACCGUCGUAGUCUUAACCAUAAACUAUGCCGACUAGGGAUCGGAUGAUGUUAAUUUUUUAAUGACUCAUUCGGCGCCUUACGGGAAACCAAAGUGU